rnacentral:lncRNA from 1 species
CGGGUAAACCAAGCCGCCAAAUAUUUCGCGAAAAUUGAAUUAAUGAUUUCCGAGGAAAUUCCGACGGAUAUAGUAAAUAUUUCCGAGGAAAUUCCGACGGAUAAUUUCCGUCGGACCCCUCAUUUUAUUAGGUCGAGCCCGACCUUCUUCCCCAUUUCUCUCCGCCGCAAUCUCUCUUUCUCCUGCGAUUUCGUCGACUCCUCUCUUCUCCCUUGCGAUUUGCGGCGCUUUCUCUCUUCUCCCUCGCGAUUUCCACCCUAAUCCUCAUGUAUGAACCCUAUCCCACUCUUUUAGGUUAGAUUUGUAUGGUUUUUAAGUAGAUUUGAUGAUUUUGGAAUGAGAUUUAUAGAUUUUGUUAGGGUGAAUGGUAGAUUUAUAGAUUUUGUUAGGGUGAAUGGUAGAUUUGAUUUGUAUCACUUGAUUUGAAUUUUUUUUUUUAGUUUUUAUUAAUUUUGUGGUUAUAAAAAUCGAAUUUGUAAUUAUAUAUAUAUAUAUAUAUAUUGAAAACGUUUUUUGUAUAUAAAAUCUAUUUUUUGCAUUUUAAAUUCAUUUAUAUAUUUAUUAAACAUUUUUAAAAUCUAUAAAACUUUUUUAAGAUUAAAAAUCAUAUAUAUAAUAUUUAAAAUCAUUUUUUUGUGGUUAUAAAACGUUUUAUGUAUUUUAUAUAAAAAAUAUAAAUUUCUAUAUUUAUUAAACAUUUUUAAUAUUAUGAAAACUAUUUUUUGUAAUUAUUUAACAUUUUAAAUAUUUUUAAAACUAUUUUUUGUAAUUAUUAACUGUUUUUGUGAUUUAUUUAAACUAUUUUUUUAAUUUUUAUACUAUUUUAUAUUUAUUAAAACUAAUUUUGUAUUUAUAAAACAUUUUUUUAUUAUAAAC